UCCUUGCUGUUUUUAAGUGUUUUUAAGCUGUUUUGGAGUGUUUUAGUGUGUUUUGACAUAAAAAUCUGAAAAUCUCAUAAAAAUUUGAAAAAUUGUUUUGAAAAACCCAAAAAUAGUUGUUUUUGUGUGUUUAUUUGUGUCUUAGGGUACCUUCCAACACAAUGAUGAGGAUUUGGUUUUUAAUUAUAUGACUAUUAAAGAGAGUUAUAAACAUGGAUGAAAAUUUGAUUUACUCUUUGGUGUAUGCUUGGUUGUGGUUAUAAUUUAUGAAUUCAUAUGCAAUCAUAAAGGAAAAAUCAAUUUUUGUAACAUGCUUGAAGGAAGGAACUCAAAUGAACGCUACAACCUUGUGAGACUUGAGCCUAAACGUUUAUUUGGAGAAUUAAUAAUCUAUGCACCAUUGUUUUCUAAAGUCGUUGCAUGAUCUCAUUAUUCUUUGCUUGGUUGUUACUUAGAAGGCGUUUCAUCAUUUAGUUCCAAAUGCUAGAACUCAUGCCUAUUUCAUUCAAAGCAUGCUAUUGAUUUGCAUAACACAUAUUCAAGAUGAAGUUGUGUAGUGACCACCAAAGCCAAAUUGCCGUGCCCCUAUUUCAUUAUGUGUUUAAAUUUAACCCCGUUGAACCUUGUUAAGCCUAUGUUCUUUGUUAACCCAUACUAUCCUUACCUAGCCUAGUUUUAGAACCAUCCAUACCCUUAUUCUUGAAGCAUAGUAAAGCAUGACUUAAAAUGAACUCCUUUUUUAUCAAUGUAUUGCAGAAAGCAAGUGUGGGGGAAGUGAUUCUUGUGUGUGUAUGUGUGCCAAAGUCCUUAAUAAGGCACGGGUAGAAAAGAAAAAAAAAAGAGUGAAAAGAAAAAAAGAAUUGAAAAGAGUAUGAAAAAGAGGCUAAGUGUUGUAUGAAUCUUCCCUUUGUAUUUAAAAGUUGAUUCUGCAUUCUAAAGUGAAUUCCAAGUGUCUAUUUCAUUGCUUUGCUUGCCAUCGCUUUAAGAACGUUUGUUAUUCCUAUCCUUUCUUUAUUAGCCAUUAUCCCCAAGCCCUGUUACAACCCUUGACUUCAAUCUUGAGUGUUGUGUGUUUCAAUUUGUGGAGUUCGAAAUUGGUAUGAGCAUAUGGUGUCACUGGUUCUCGCAUCUAAGUAGUAGCAUUCCAUUCAUGAGAUCAUAUCUAAACAUUCUUAAUAACUCCAGAAAAUUGCUUUCUUUGUUAUAACAUAUGUGAGUCCUAGUCUUUCAUGUUUACAUCAGUCUUCUCACAUAUACUAGUGUAGGGUGUGUAGUCAAAAAAUGUGUGUGAAAAUAGAGAGUAUCUUGUAAGGAAUUGAGCAAAUUCUCUAAGGCAUGUUACUACAUUCAAAACAUUGUUUUAAUUGGUUAAUUGUGAACUAGUAAGUGGUGACUGUGAUUAAGUAUGUGCUCAAGUGUAAAAUGACCAAAAUAUGUGGGAAUGAUGAUUUUUAACAUGUCAUGUUUCAUUAAAAAUCCCUGAGGCAAAUGUUGGAAGAUCUAGGUUGUGUUUUGUUUGUUUCGUUUGUUUUGUUUUGCUCAAGGGCUAUCAAAAGCUAAGUGUGGGGGGAUUU
rnacentral:lncRNA from 1 species